AUCACCAGGGGCCCAAUAUUAUAGUAUGUAAUCUUUGUCAUUUGGAUCUAAUUUUUAGGGGCAUACAAUCUUGAAUAAAAAGUUAAUCCUUUUGAAGUACUUAUAGCUAGAAUGUAAACCAUAAUAAGUUUGAAUACUAGCUUCAUGCUGUAAACUAGGGAAGGCAGCAGAGGAGCUUACCUCCUAAAGGAAAAGAGAUAAAAAUGAGAGCUUCUUCUUUUGCUUAAUGGAAAAGACAUCGAGCUACAUCCUAUACCCAAACCA
rnacentral:misc_RNA from 1 species